UUGGGUGGGAACUGAGAAAGUCUCAACUACAAUUCUGCUGCUUCACUGAAUUCUCAUCCUAAAGAACCCUUAAUGACUUGCCUUAUUUCUCUUUUACAGAUUUUUUUUUUAAAAAACCACCAGCUGAUUUAUCUCUUGCUACUAUCUGCUCCUGUCAGCAUGCAUCUUCGUCCCCACCUGAGAACAAUUGGAGAAUGAUCUAAGAAUGAUUUAAUUGCCAAAAGUGAGAGAUAUAAAUCAUGAUGUGCAUAGAUCACCAAGCAAUGACCUUGAAUUUAGAAAUCCGGGGACUCAACUUAGCUCUCUAUUUUUGGUGGAAAACCUAUACAGCUUUAGUAAAAGAGACUCUAUGGAAAACAUGAUAGACGGGUCUCUAUCACCAGAAGGUGGACUAUAUGUCCACAAGAAGCCUUCAACGUUCCUGCUCCAGCUCUGCACAAAGAAGCCUUCAGCACAGGAAUGUGACAGAGGUCUGCACAUCAUGCCAGCCACCACCAUGUAGCGUGAGGUCACAAGUAGCACAUUCCAAAGUUCAGGAGUGGCUACAGAGAAGGCCCGACCAUGAAUUACCACCAGAGAAGCCAGUGGCAACUGCAGGCUGACCAGCAGUGAGGAAUCUUGGUAAGAUCAUCCUCCCCCCCUGUUUGGGCUAUAUCACUAGGGCAUAAUGCAUGGUUCUCCUUAACUCUUGUGUGAACAUAUGGAUAUGAUACUGUAUGAUCAGUGUGGUCUGUGCAUGAAUGCCGUGUGGCUUAGGAUAAGGGCAUGCAGGAACUCUUCUUCCCUAAAAAUCAUGUUGGCAUGCCCUAAGCUAAUGGGUGCAGUGUGCAUGUGUGCAAAGUAUAUCCCAACAUGGAAAAAUUACAAACGUCACAAGAAAGGAGUAUAAGAUAUAAGCCCACUCCCCACAAUUAUUUCUGACCCACACUGAAUGCACCUGUGGCUAUGUAGAAAAUAAUUAAUAAUUCCAUUUCAGCAUGGAAAUCUUUUUUUCAGAACCCCCAGUAGAUCCAUGGUGAAAGUAUUAUUCAUUUAAUAAAAUAGGAGAUGGAGUGUUUUCCUAAGUACAGGCAUGAACCAAAGCCCUUUGAAGUCAAUGGAAAAACUGUACUGACUUCAACAAACUCCUUUAGGAUUUCAACACAUUUUAAACCCUGCUGAUGCAAUGCACCUAUGCUUUUUGACUCAGCACUUUUAAUCAGUUACAUCUUUGGAUGUAAUCCAUGGUUCCCUGAAACAUUAUUGUAAGACCAGACAUUCUAAGUGCUGCUUCUGUUGCAAAGUUAAUUCCAGUUCUUAUUCCUAUACUUUUCCCCCAGCUUAUUUAAUAUGGAUGGGUGUCUUCACUGAAAGUCAACUACUACUUUUACAAUAGCUGAGAACCUUUCUUUAAUAAAAGUAGCAUGAAUUAUAUUUGAUUAUAGAGCUGCAACUUAAUUAUCAGACUUAUUUUAAAGUUUAUCAAGUAAAGCUUCUUUAUAACUUUAGAUUUCUCCUCAGAUUAUAUUGUGUCUGCUCAGAGAUUCUUUUUGAGCCUUCUGUAUUAAUCAUAGUUGCCCGAUUCCCUGUUAAAUCUUUCAGAGUUGAAUCAAUUGAAGCUAUCAUCUUCUCCACUGAAAUGGAUUUCAGUGCUAAUGAAAAUUUUCAUCCUCAUUCUAAGGGCCUGAAAUUCUUUUUUCACUUAUUCUUUAUAGCUCAUGUUACAACUCAUUUUUAUAAUUCUAAUAUGAUUAAUUACAGCCCCAUUCUCAUCCUUUUUUUUUUUGAUUGCUCUCAGGUUUUUUUCAAAAAAAAAAUUGCUUCUGACGUCAUUUUCAUUGGCCAUUUUUACUGUCAUUCUUAUUUACAUACUGUAUCAGAAGUCAUAAAAUUAGUCGUAAAACUUUUUUGAACUAAAAUGUGUCUCAGCCUGGAAUGUAGCUGCUCAGUUAUUCAUCAUUAAUUCAGUGCUUACUGGGCCUGAAUAUUAAGCUGCUGUUAUUCCAUUCUUCAGCUUUGCUGCACUGUUGAAGCAUCUUGUAGUUCAAUGAAAGCAACUGUGGAUAGUGAUCAUACCAUAAGCAAAUGCCUUAUCAGUGAUUCUCAUCCAUCAGUUUACAGCACAAGGAUUUAGACACGCUUCAUUGAUAACCAAGUGACACAAAGGAGGAGAUGGUUAAGAAUUUAGAAUCAAGAUUCUAAAUACACAACAGCAUUUUUAAAAUUUAUUUUACAUUUCUCAAGAUGUUUAAGCUCCUAGUGCACUGCACAAUGCAAAAACACAAUGUGAAAAUAUGGUAUUGGUUAAUCUUAGUAAUACAAGGAUUGAAGGCAGCUCCCAGAGAGAUUGAAGGAAGGGGAAAUGGAGGAAGAUUGAGUCUCUGUUUCCCCCAGAGGGCAGGACUAGAUCUAACUGAUAGAUUUUGGUUGAACAUUAAGACUCACUUCUUAACUUCAUCAGAGCACUUUGACAAUGGAACUAGUUAUCAGGGCAUGGGGUUGGACUCUCCGUUGCUAGAUAUUUUCAGGCAGAAGCUGGACAGCCAUCUGUUGGGAAUGCUCUCAAUUUCCUACACUGAGCAAGGGUUUGAACUAGAUGGACAACAGUUUAUUAUUCUAUUAAAAAUAUUGCCAUCAUAUGUCAGCCACAUUACCUCGUAAAUAUUUUUUUUAUUAAUUAUCAUCAUCAUUAUUGUUGUUGUUCUUGUUGUUGUUCUUGUUUACACACAGUCUACCAGAUGUUAUUGACUGGAUUUGGUACUUUAACUAUCAGACCCUUUCUAAGGGUCUAGGAUAACUAAAGAAAAAUUAAAGAUCAUCGUAGUAUUCGUGCUGUCCUGAGUGGUGUAGCCUUCUGUAGUUGAAGUGUAAUUUUAUUGAUGCCCAAGGUGUCAAGAUGGUGUUCAAGUUCUUUUUGUACUGCACCAAGGGCACCAACAAGUAUUGGCACCACUAUUGUUUUCUUGUUCCAAAACCACUCAAUUUCAAUCUGAAGGUCCUUGUAUUUAGUUAUUUUCUCCAAUUGUUUUUGGUAGACUCGUCUUUCCUCUGGGAUUGCAAUAUCAGUUAUCAGAACCCGAUUCUUCAGAUCAGGCGUAUUGUGUGCUAAAUGCUUAUCAGUUUGUAUUUGGAAAUCCCAAAGGAUUUUUGCCUCUUCAUUUCCUGUGAUCUUUUCAAUCGGAUGAUCCCACGAAUUCUUGCUUGCUGGCAAUUAGUAAUUCUUGCAAAAGUUCCAGUGGAUCAUUGCAGCAACUUUGUUGUGUCUUUCCUUAUAUCAGUCUGUGAAGGACCUUUAAUUACCUAUUAUAAUGUAGCUAUAGUAUGGGAAUAACUUAUUUCAAAUUUGUCUCUGUGCACAAAAAGCAACCUAAAUUCAUUCAUACCAAAUAACAAUGACAAUAUCUCCCCUAGGUAUUUGGCCCCUUCAGAAUAAACAGAGUUUGAGAUAAUGAACUAAAGUACAAGAAAUAUGCAGGCAUGAAGCAGAUGCUUUAUGCUUUUAUGUGUGGCUUUUCAGCUUUCAGGCAGUUGCAGGGUGCACAAAACAUCAAGCAGCAGCAAACAAAGCCAUGCUGCAGAGGGCCUCCUGCUGCUCAGAGACAUGAUCCAGGCAUUCUACCAUCCAAUUAUAUCGAAAGUUCACCCCAAUUUUGUGCCACUGGCUAUAGUGAAGCUAUAAAUGUCAGAAUAUAUUGAGAGGUAUGUGUGCCUCUGGUUGGUCUCCAUCAAGCUAGAUUGUCCUGAACAAAACCAAUGCAUGCUAAACGUACAUAGAAAGAAAUAUUGGAAGAUACAGACAAGCAAAUAGGUAAGGAACCUGCAAGCAUGGGUGCAUAAGGACUAGAGCAGGGCUGCAAAACUUCGGUCCUCCAGCUGUUGGUGGACUACAACUCCCAUCAUCCCCAGCCCCAGUGGUUAAUCAUCAGUGUCAUGGGAGUCAUUGGUCAAUAGGCAAUAGUCAGAGUCAAUAGAUAUAGGAGUGAUGUGCCAACAACACCUGGAGGGCCAAAGCUGUGCCACCCUGGAUUAGAGAGUUCCUCAGAAGGAGGACCUAAGAGAUGCAAAUUAAACCUCUGAACUUAUAAUGAUAUACUCUGGGAGAGGCCAUUAUUGUAUUAACAUCACAACUUUGCUGUAUGGAGCACAUGUAUCAGCAUAUGCCUCUUUCAAAUAACGUGUUGCAUGGAUGUAUCUCAUAGAUAACUAUACCUGCUCCCCAGAAGUAAAGUACAGCUUCAUUUUUACAUAACAUGGAACUGGAGGUGAAGGGACCUCCGGUUUCAAAAAAUGAACAUCCAAAUCCAGGCAACCACAGUUCCUCCAGAAAAUGGACCCAUGGUUUCCCUCCCUGGACAGUGAUUUGUACCUUCGGUUUGUAGUGAGCUCGGCCACCUGGACCUCUGGUUCUGGGAUGCCAGUAUUACAUCCGAACACUAGCACCACAGUCUGGUUGCUUCGCAACUGGAGUUGGGUGGGGAAGUUCCUCCCUCGCUCCAGCUGCUAUUGGCUGCCGGGGCUGUCCCUCAGGAAAGAAGGAAGCCCAGUCAGCCAGUGCUCCCUCCUCUCUGCAGUCAGCGGCUCUCCUGGAUGUCCGAAUUUGGACAGGAGUGCGGGGGGAGUGGGGAGGGGAAUUGCGAGUACAUUGGACCCACAGUUCUGUGUUAUGUAUGGUUGUGGCCUAUGUGUCACAGGGAACUACUCUGCCAAGACUCCAUAUUACAGAGUUGUGUUUAUUAUUCAUUAUUAACUGAAGUUUUGUGUAUCCAUUCCUGAAACAAUGUCGACAUGAUCACCCCUAAGCAUCCUCUCCGACCUGCUUCAAAAUUGGCCCCUUGGUAUAUGGAAGAACUACGGGGGCUGAAGCACCAAAGAAGAUGACUGGAGAAAGACAAGUGGAGGAAGACAAGUAGAGGAAGUCUUGACUCGAAUCCCAGAGAUUACAACAUAGAGCACAUUUGAAGAUCUAUGUUCUGGCAAUACGGGUGACAGCUAUUCUUUUCAGCCUGUAUUGUGUCUUGAAGUUCAUGUCCAGUGGAGUUGUUCAGGGUUGUGAGAAGGCUAGUAACUGCCCCUCCUCCCUUGAAUCAGAAUUUGAAACCAUCUAUUACCCGCUGUGAUGUGUUUAAUGAUUUUUCUGUGGAUAAAACCUCUCGUAUUCUGGCCAACUUAGAUUUAGACCCCACAAUUACUGUAGCGUCUGAAUUAGAGGUGUCCAGUGACUCUUCUUAUGAGGUCAGGCUGGAUCAGUUUCAGUUUGUGACUCAUGAGGAUGUAGACAAGCUGCUUGGAGCGAUGCAGCCUACCACCUGUUCUCUUGAACCUUGCCCAACAUGGCUAAUACUAUCUGGCAGGGAAGUUGUUUUAGAAGGCCUAGUAGAGUUCAUAAAUGCUUCUCUGAGAGACAGCAGGAUGCCUCAUUGCCUUAAGGAGGCAAUUAUUAGACCACUUCUGAAGAAGCCUGUCUUGGAUUCCUCAAGUUUUAGUAAUUAUAGGGCUGUCUCCAACCUUCUGUGGUUGGGUAAGGUAAUUGAGAGGGUGCUGGCCUCCCAACUCCAGGCAGUCUUGGAUGAGACUGAUUAUCUGGAUGAGUUUUAGAUUGGCUUUCUGGUGGGCUAUGGGAUGGAGUCUGCCUUGGUUGGUCUGAUGGAUGAUCUCCAAUUGGGGAUUGACAAAGGAAGUGUGAUUCUGUUGGUCCUUUUAGACUUCUCUGCGGCUUUGGAUACUAUUGACCAUAAUAUCCUUCUGGAGCAUCUGAAGGGGUUGGGGGUGGGAGGCACUGCUUUGCAGUGGUUGUACUCUUACCUCUCAGGCAGAUUCCAGAUGGUGUGCCUCGGGGACUGUUUUUCUUCAAAAACUGAACUUCAGUAUGGUGUCCUUCAGGGCUCCAUAUUGUCUCCGAUGUUGUUCAACAUCUACAUGAAAUUGCUGGGAGAGAUUAUCAGGAAAUUUGGUGCAGAGUGUUAUCAGUAUGCUGACGACACCCAAAUAUUUUUCUCCAUGUCAACAUCAUCAGGAGAAGGCAUAACCUCCCUAAAUGCCUGCCUGGAGGCAGUGAUUGAUGGGUUGGAUGAGAGAUAACAAGCUGAGAGUGAAUCCAGAUAAGAUGGAGGUACUUAUUGUGUGGGGUCGGAACUCUGGAGAUGAUUUUGAUCUGCCAGUUCUGGAUGGGGUCACACUUCCCCAGAAGGAACAGGUAUGCAGUCUGGGGGUUCUUCUGGACACAAACCUUUCCCCGGUGUCCCAAGUUGAGGCAAUGGCCAGAGGUACCUUUUAUCAGCUUCGGCUGAUACGCCAGCUGCGUCUGUUUCUUGAGAUAAAUGACAUCAGAACAGUAGUACAUCUGCUAGUCAGCUCCAGACUUGAUUACUGCAAUGCGCUCUAUGUAGUAUGCCUUUGUACGUAGUCCAGAAACUGCAGUUGGUCAAGAAUGCGGCAGCCAGGCUGGUCUCUGGGUCAUCUCAGAGGUAUCACUCCUACCUUAAAAGAUUUACACCAGUUGCUGAUAUGUUUCUGGGCAAAAUACAAGGUUUUGGUUAUAACCUAUAAAACCCUAACCAGUUUGUGCCCUGGGUAUUUAAGAGAAGGCCUUCUUCGCUAUCAACCACCCGUCCAUUGAAAUCAUCUGGAGAGGUUUGUCUGUAGUUGCCACCAGCUUGUCUGGUGGCUACUCAGGGACGGGCCUUCUCCAUUGCUGCCCUGAGGCUUUGGAACACACUUCCUGCUGAAAUAAGAGCCUCCCCAUCUCUUAGAACUUUCAAAAUGGCAGUUAAUUUGUUCACCCAGGCUUUUAAUUAGAUAUUGUUGUAAUUGUGUUUUUAGUAGUUUUAACAUUUAAUUUUAAUGAUUGUAAGGUUUUAAUCAUUUUAUCUGUUUUUAUUAUCUUCUUGUAAACUGCCCAGAGACUUCUGUUUUGGGCGGUAUACAAAUGUAUUAAAUAAAUAAAUAAAUAAAUA